CAGUCGCGGUAAUACGGAGGGCGCGAGCGUUACCCGGAUUUACUGGGCGUAAAGGGCGUGUAGGCGGCCUGGGGCGUCCCAUGUGAAAGGCCACGGCUCAACCGUGGAGGAGCGUGGGAUACGCUCAGGCUAGAGGGUGGGAGAGGGUGGUGGAAUUCCCGGAGUAGCGGUGAAAUGCGCAGAUACCGGGAGGAACGCCGAUGGCGAAGGCAGCCACCUGGUCCACUUCUGACGCUGAGGCGCGAAAGCGUGGGGAGCAAACCGGAUUAGAUACCCCAGUAGUCCCUGUCUCUUAUACACU
rnacentral:rRNA from 1 species